rnacentral:rRNA from 1 species
UACGUAGGGGGCAAGCGUUGUCCGGAAUCAUUGGGCGUAAAGAGCGCGUAGGCGGCCCUGUAAGUCCGCUGUGAAAGUCAAGGGCUCAACCCUUGAAUGCCGGUGGAUACUGCAGGGCUAGAGUCCGGAAGAGGCGAGUGGAAUUCCCAGUGUAGCGGUGAAAUGCGUAGAUAUUGGGAGGAACACCAGUGGCGAAGGCGGCUCACUGGACUGGUACUGACGCUGAGGCGCGAAAGCGUGGGGAGCAAACAGG